CAAGACGUAGCUAUAACCCCUAAAGCAUUCAGCUUACGCCUGAAAGAUGUCUCCACUAAACGAGAUCGUCUUGA
rnacentral:tRNA from 2 species